ACCUGUUCUGGGGGAAGAUUGCUCAGCUUGGAACAAGAUGGUCUUUAGGGUCCCUUCCAAGCCCAAGCACCCAGGGAUUCCAUCAUUCUAGCAUCUCCCUUGUCCACUUCAGCCUGGGCCUGGGCUCCUGGCACUGAUGUCACAGUGCACGCUCCAGCUAGAACUUCCAGCAUCCAGCAACGGCCACAACACAACCCUUGGCUCCUUGUGUCAGCACGCUCUUCACCCUGCUCCAGGCCUACCCCUGUCACCUUGUUGUCACCUGCUCCCUCAUACCCCCAGCAGUCCCCAAAGCUCCCCGUUGAGUGCAUUUUGCUCUCCAUCCCUGCAGGAUGUCUGCAUUUGCUCCAAAGAAGGCUGGCACAGACACAGAAGAGGAGAUGGAGGUGGAUACACAGAUGGAUACCGAAGAGAAAAUGGAAGUGGAUGGAGAGGAGACGGGAGAGGAAGAGAUGGAUGUGGAUGUGACAGAGGAAGAAAUGGAGGUGGACAUGGAAGAGCACAUUGAGGAGAUGGAUAUUGAUAUGGAAGAUGAGGAGGAGGACAUGGUGUUGGGAUGAAGACCCAUGCCAGCAGCAGAACAGGCAGGACUGAGGCACAUCCCGGACACAGAUGCCACCCUGCUGUAUAUACGUUUUACAGUUGUUGUGUUCUGAUAGACAUUUUGGAGUUUGCUUAAGUGUUCUGUAAAUACGUUUCAUGUAGUUUUGUUAGAUAUGUUCUUAGGUAAAUAGGUUCUAUAGUUU